CUUCCAGUAGCACCUUAGAGACCAACUAAGUUUGUCAUUGGUAUGAGCUUUCGUAUGCAUGCACACUUUUUCAGAUACAAGUGUUCAUGCACACAAAAGCUCAUACCAGUGAUAAACUUAGUUGGUCUCUAAGGUGCUACUGGAAG
rnacentral:miRNA from 1 species